AUACGGAGGAUCCGAGCGUUAUCCGGAUUUAUUGGGUUUAAAGGGUGCGCAGGCGGGAGAUUAAGUCGGCGGUGAAAUUUUUCAGCUCAACCGUAAAAGAGCCUUGGAAACUGGUUUUCUUGAGUGUAGAUGAGGAAAGCGGAAUUUGUGGUGUAGCGGUGAAAUGCAUAGAUAUCACGAGGAACUCCGAUUGCGCAGGCAGCUUAAUAAACUACUACUGACGCUCAGGCACGAAGGCGUGGGGAACAAACAGGAUUAGAUACCCUGGUAGUCCACGCAGUAAACGAUGAUUACUAGCUGUUUGCGAUACAAUGUAAGCGGCUGAGCGAAAGCGUUAAGUAAUCCGCCUGGGGAGUACGUUCGCAAGAAUGAAACUCAAAUGAAUUGACGGGG
rnacentral:rRNA from 1 species